rnacentral:rRNA from 2 species
UGAGGAAUAUUGGUCAAUGGUCUGACGACUGAACCAGCCAUGCCGCGUGAAGGUGACGGCCCUAUGGGUCUUAAACUUCUUUUGUAAGGGAGCAAUAAGAGCUACGUGUAGCUUGAUGAGAGUACCUUACGAAUAAGCAUCGGCUAACUCCGUGCCAGCAGCCGCGGUAAUACGGGGGAUGCAAGCGUUAUCCGGAUUUAUUGGGUUUAAAGGGUGCGUAGGCGGUCGAUUAAGUCAGCGGUGAAAUUUAGGGGCUCAACCUCUACCGUGCCGUUGAUACUGGUUGGCUGGAAUGCGGAUGCCGUGGGAGGAAUGUGUGGUGUAGCGGUGAAAUGCAUAGAUAUCACACAGAACACCGAUUGCGAAGGCAUCUCACGAAUCCGCUAUUGACGCUGAGGCACGAAAGCGUGGGGAUCAAACAGG